GACGAACGCUGGCGGCGUGCCUAAUACAUGCAAGUCGAACGAAGCUGUUUUAACUGGUGCUUGCACCGACUUAAACAACUGAGUGGCGAACGGGUGAGUAACACGUGGGUAACCUGCCCCAAAGCGGGGGAUAACAUUUGGAAACAGAUGCUAAUACCGCAUAAUCACAGAAACCACAUGGUUUCUGUGUCAAAGAUGGUUUCGGCUAUCACUUUGGGAUGGACCCGCGGCGUAUUAGCUAGUUGGUAAGGUAAUGGCUUACCAAGGCAAUGGUACGUAGCCGAACUGAGAGGUUGAUCGGCCACAUUGGGACUGAGACCCGGCCCAAACUCCUACGGGAGGCAGCAGUAGGGAAUCUUCCACAAUGGACGAAAGUCUGAUGGAGCAACGCCGCGUGAGUGAAGAAGGUUUUCGGAUCGUAAAACUCUGUUGUCAGAGAAGAACGUGUGCGAGAGUAACUGUUCGUGCAGUGACGGUAUCUGGCCAGAAAGCCACGGCUAACUACGUGCCAGCAGCCGCGGUAA
rnacentral:rRNA from 1 species